AAUGCUCAACUCCCUUUUACUUUGUUGUAAAGGAGAGCUUGGACUGUGGAGGCUUGCUGGCCACUUCUUUUGAGGUCAGCUCCUCUGAAAUGCAUUAGCGGAACCGUUUGCGAUCUGCCACAAGUGUGAUAGAUUAUCUACACUAGCGAGGGGAUUGCUCUCCGUCGUUCAGCUUCCAAUCGUCUCAGGACAAUUUCUUGAAC
rnacentral:misc_RNA from 1 species